UUUGAUCCUGGCUCAGGACGAACGCUGGCGGCGUGCCUAAUACAUGCAAGUCGAGCGAGCUUGCCUAGAUGAUUUUAGUGCUUGCACUAAAUGAAACUAGAUACAAGCGAGCGGCGGACGGGUGAGUAACACGUGGGUAACCUGCCCAAGAGACUGGGAUAACACCUGGAAACAGAUGCUAAUACCGGAUAACAACACUAGACGCAUGUCUAGAGUUUGAAAGAUGGUUCUGCUAUCACUCUUGGAUGGACCUGCGGUGCAUUAGCUAGUUGGUAAGGUAACGGCUUACCAAGGCAAUGAUGCAUAGCCGAGUUGAGAGACUGAUCGGCCACAUUGGGACUGAGACACGGCCCAAACUCCUACGGGAGGCAGCAGUAGGGAAUCUUCCACAAUGGACGAAAGUCUGAUGGAGCAACGCCGCGUGAGUGAAGAAGGGUUUCGGCUCGUAAAGCUCUGUUGGUAGUGAAGAAAGAUAGAGGUAGUAACUGGCCUUUAUUUGACGGUAAUUACUUAGAAAGUCACGGCUAACUACGUGCCAGCAGCCGCGGUAAUACGUAGGUGGCAAGCGUUGUCCGGAUUUAUUGGGCGUAAAGCGAGUGCAGGCGGUUCAAUAAGUCUGAUGUGAAAGCCUUCGGCUCAACCGGAGAAUUGCAUCAGAAACUGUUGAACUUGAGUGCAGAAGAGGAGAGUGGAACUCCAUGUGUAGCGGUGAAAUGCGUAGA
rnacentral:rRNA from 1 species